UUUUCCAUCCUUUGAUCUAUUCGAUCACAACAGGUUGACAACCCGUCGCCACUGAAUCCGAUGCAAAAAUGAAUGCCACAAGAACAACUGUGGUCUUACAUCAUACCCAGCCUCCCUUGACCUGUCUUUUCCUGGUUCAACAUGUCGUGGUCCCAUUACUAAUAGAAUCGACUCGAGUUACAUCGUGAUGGCUUGAGCUACCAUCGAACCAAACCCAUUCAAUACCCUGGUAUCCUGCAUUUGAUGCCCUUGGCAUCCUUAUGCUCCCAAAUAUCAUCUUACUGAAACAAAAUCCAGUACUGAACCUGCAUGAACCCCGGUUCAGAAUCCUUUCCGAAAUGAGUCGAUACCCCGUUACUACCUCAAGAUCCAUAAUACACCAUAACUCCCGACGUCUCUUUCCUGACCGAUAAGUAAUUACCCUUAGUCGAUCUCCGAGACUACCUGUCUCACGCCCGGUCCAACCACCAGGUUCCCAAGAGAUCAAAAAUCAAGAUUACCCAGCCGUAGCCAUACUGCGUCACAUACCACUGAUGGGUUUUGGUCAUAAGACAUCCUAUGUGCUCAUACAAACCCUAAAGCUUGGAUCUAGGUUUCUCUAUUGUACAUACUUUGAAUCCAAGACUAUAAACCCUAAUUCUAGCAUAUGGAAAUCAGAAUUCAUAUGUAAAUAGGUUUAAGAACAUACCUUGAUUGUUAUAUAGCAAUAACAAUCCAAUUCCUCCUUGAAUUGACCUUGGAAAGCUGAGAGUCACAAGUGUCACUCCUCUAAUGGCUUACAAACACCAUAAGCAAGUGGAGAAGGUAUAAAGAGAGAGGAGGGAGGUAGGAAUUCGUCCUUAGGACCUCUUGGGAAGGGUUAGACGAAUUCCUAAGCCCUAGGGGGUUUAUAUAGGUGUAAAGAUUAAGGUUUUAGUCCUUAUCCUUAUCUAGUUGCUUGUCCACCAAGCAACCAUAAGAUAAGUCCUAGAAACCCUUAUCCUAGUCGAAUUCUAAGGGAUUUACACCUCAAAUUCGUUCACCAUAUAUAUAAGAUAAUCCUUACCUUAUUUUGUAACUAUCACAUAAUUACAAUUCAGCCCCUCUAGUUUAAUUAAUUACACUUGAUCACAAAAUUAAUUCUUAAUUAAUUAUUGACCAAUAUUAAUUAAACAAAUAUGAUUUCUCCUUUAAUAUAUUAUUCUUAUAACAUAUUAAUAAAUCAUAAUAACCUCUCUCUCUUUAUUUAUUUCUCCAAUCAAGUUGCUUUGGUGAAGGCAACCCAAAAGGACCAUGCACCAUCGGGUCAAGUACAUACCAAAAUAGUUAUGGACUUAGACACUAAUCCAACAGUCUCCCACUUGGAUAAGUCUAACAACUAUUCUGCGUAUGACUUCGGAUCCCGAUCUGCAAUCGUAGCUUUCCAAAGCCGCUGUCAACUCUGAUCAUAUCAGAUACGCGUGUCCUUAGAUAAGGGAUCAUAUAUUCCUCCAUUCUAGAUAUCAUAUGAGAUAUGAUUUCAAAUCAUUCUCUUUGUACUAUAUCUCGAUUUCCGAUUUAUGACGACUGACUAAUUGAACAAAUCAAAUUAGCCCUAGCCCGGCCGAGCAUUUACGUUUGUCAUCACUAAACCAUCGAGGGGCCCAAAGAUAUCGCUUUUAUCCUACUUUGGAUAAAAGGAACGGAUAAACUUUGAUACAAUGCUUGCUUGCACUCACUCACCGAAUCACACACAACAAUAUGUUUUAUAACACCAAGUUACUAGUGCGUUUACAUAUUAUCAAUGUGCAACCGAUUUGCAAGAUACAACUCACACAUCUCGGUUUCAAGAAUAUAAGAUGUUAUCGUCUCACCAAUCACUCGUGAUACAAUUCAUGGAGUGAUCCAAGUGAGCGUGGGUUUAAUCCAAUGCUCAAAUCAUAUUCAUAAGCACUCAUGAACGUUGCAGCAAACAUUUGCUUAUGUCUAAUACUCUUUUAGACAAUCCACACACCAAUUCACGACAGUCUUCAUUCAUAUCUACUUCCAACAUAUGAACGACUGUGGCCCGUUUGAAUAAUUCGAUUAUUCUUAAUAAACUCAAUUAUUCUGGAAGUCAAAACAUGCAAAUGUGAAACACAAGAAUAAUACUAAUCCCAUAUGGCCUCAAACCUUUGAGUAUAAAUAAAACACCUUUUAUUUAUCACCAUAUUGAUUACUCAUUAUUUGUCGUUUCGGGUAAUCAACUUCUUACUUGAAUUCCAACACUUGUCCCAUGCUCCUAGCAUGCACACAAUGUUUACCUAUGGUUCUUACUUUGUGAAAUAGAUCACAUUGAACACAUUUCCAAUCCUUCUCAUUUCACAACUCCAAAUCCGUUUUUCAUAAGUCAAAGAAUAUCAAAUUCUUGCUACUUAUAGAAUAUGCUAGAUUCUAACAUUCUAUGCAACUAUCCUUUCGUAAUGUCACUGCACCAAAGUCACAAAGACUAUUGCCAAUGAUAUUACAAAGUCCUCUAUCGGAGAUUGUUACAAGACAAUUCCAUAGACGUGAUGUCUCUCACUCAAAGUACAUUCUUUGAACAUCCUUUUGCAUAGAAGUUUCUAAUCUAGUCAUAGAUUUCUCAAUAUUCAAUUCCCAAUAUGGACACACUUCCAUAUGUUCCAUAUGACAACUCAUUCUUAAUAGAAUCUUAUCUAUUCGUAAUGAUGUCGAUAUGGUCCAUCCAAUAUGGAAACAUUUCCAUAUUUUCCAAUACUAUACUUCCAACUACUCACAAGCGACCAAUCCUCGUCGAACUUUGGAUUGUCCUUUGAUAGUUGUUUAAUUAUUUUAGUCAAAACCAAUUCUAGUCCCUUUUCCCUCUAAAUGCGCUCGACAUUUGGAAAAUUUUAGAAUGGUCAAACAUUAAAGCAUUUGCAAUCGAUCCUAUACCCGAAGCGUAUGGGACACGACGCAUAAUGUUUUAUUUGCUAUGUUCUCAAAAUUCGAAUUGUGAAGAGGGAUGCCGUAAUCAUAAUCGAAAUUUUAAGAACACACUAUGUACCUUUGACUAAAUUUAUUAACAUUUCUCAACCUAAUCCUUUAGAUUUGAAAUGAAGCAUAAUAUUCUCUCCCUUAAUUAUAGCAAAACAACCUUUCAACUCUUACAACUUUGCAAAGUAUGACUCUUGUUUUCUAUAAUUAAUAUUGCUAACCUUGCAAUACUUUCCUUAAUAAUCAUACAAUCAUAACAUUUAUGCUCCCACUAUCAUGAUGAUUAUUAUAAAACAUAACACUUAUGCUCCCACUAGCUUCGACAUGUAUUCAUAAACAUCUUAACUUUCAGAAAAACAAUACUUAUUGAAUUUCUUAAGUUCAUGUUUCUAAUACUUAGUGCUUUGAUAAUCUUUUAUCAAGGCUUCUUGAACUUAUACACCUUUGCCUUCGAUAGUUCAUAUGUGUGUCUAAACAAUUAAGACUAAUUGCCAAACCUCACAAUUCAAAUUAUGGAAAGGGAUACCGUAACCAUAAUCGAAUUCGAGAAUGCAAUUUUACAAUCACUAUCUUCUUAAAAUCUUUCUUAGUGAAAGCAUUUCCUCACAAUCAUUUUCAUGAAGGAGGAAAUCUUAUGACACUUAGAUUUAAACGGUGUAUGUGUUCCUAUCCAUGUGAAUUUGUUAAAACCAAAGUUUACGACAAAUUCAAACUCAUAUGGACCGAACUUUCUUAAUCUUGAUUUCUUGCCUUAUGGUAGCACAGCUGCCCACCAUGUCUUCCAAGUAGUUAAGCAGCUCACCCUUUCCUAUCAAUGUACCUUUCAUUGAUUAAGGUGCUUUGCCUUUUAUGCGUUCAAAAUGAGAACUCAUAGAACUCACAUGCAUAAUUAACUCGAUUGGAUUGGCACAGAAACAAAAUAAUGUCAACACGAUAGGUUGUAAACCUCAACUCGUGUGCUAGUGAUGAUCGAUAAGGUUUAUUUGAUUUGUUCUUGAAACCUUUCAAGACCAUUAAGACUCCCACUGACUCCUUGACAUAUAAGAUUCUCUUGUCAAUAAACAUUUCUUGACAAACAAAUAUUCAAGAGUUAGUGUAGCUUUUAUCAAAACACUUCAUAAAUUGGUCCUAGUUGGUCUUUGUCUUAUCCAAGACAUCACAACUUUCCACAUUUGAUGAAUGUUAUAAACCUUCUUAAUACUUUUCACUCAAUGUCACAAUCUUAACUCUAAGACUUGUUUUGGAACGAAGUAUGAUUGACUUCUUGAUUUAACCAUUUCUUCAAUUCUUGAUUCCUCUUCUUAGACAUACAAUUGUACUAAGACUCACUUAGAGGAUCAAUUGAGAUAUGGUUCUUAAUCAUUAAGACCUAUCAUAAAGCAUAAAAGGUACUCUCCCUUCUUCUUAGAAUGGAGAAACUUUUAUCUUUCUGCCUACUUGAUUCUUCUUAUUCGUUUUGCUAUUGAUUUAAACUUUUUCAAUCAAUUCAGAAUUACACUUAAUCUUGUAAGUAUAAUCAUAUUUACUAAACCUUUAGUAAAUCAUGACGAAUAUCUUUGUUACUCUUAUGGUGGACUUGAUCAACACGCAACUUUGUGUACUCGAUCUCCUAGUCCUUCACUUGACACUUUGUCAAUGAAUUAGUCUAAUUUCCAAAUAUGAAAUUUCUCAUUCAUCGUGCAACCAAGUUGCAUGAUUCCAAGUUUCUGUCCAAUUGAAACUUGGGCGAUGAGAAACUCUCCCUAUUUGGUAAAUUCUCGACUUUCCAUAAAUAACAUAAUAAGAACCAAAUCCAUUAUUGCUAAUAAUAGAAACAUUCAAACAUCAAUUUUUCAUAUACGCCAUUGCAAGGAUAAAUAAAUAAUAUAAAAUCAAAAUUUAUUUUAUUGCGGAAAAAAUUUGUCCUUACAAUGCAAUUCAUUGAAAAACUAUGCUAAUACAUCUUUCUUAGCAAUCUAAUUCUAACUCUAAGUAGUAGCUCAAGAAUCUAAUCUUCGAGAAAUGCGAUCGAAAUCCAUUCCUUCACGGUUAGAUUCUGCUCACUUCUUCCCUUAAGCUUCCUUUCUUUUCUUCGAUCCUACAAAACAUCAAUUGUAAUCUUAUCACAUUAUGUAUUAAGAAUCUAGAAUAGAAGCUUAAAAGAGUUAGUUAAUGGAUUUUACCUAUAUUAGAGCCAUACGUUUCGACUCUCCCAUCUCUUAGAUCUCUUAGGUAAAUGGGGCAGCUUCGUCUCCAAUGCCCUUUCUCUUGGCAAUAAAAGCAAAUUGACUCUUUUGGAACAUGACAUGGAACUACUUCAGACAUUGCCUUUCUCUUAUGAUCAAACUUUUCGAUCAUAGCAUGUCUUUCGUUGCCAUUGUCUAUAUCCAUAGAGGUCUUGAAGGCAGAUUCACCAAUCAACUUUGCUUUUCUAUUGCGCCAAACCAUUGCUGAUUCAGCAGCAAUAAGCAUAUAGGUGAGAUCUAUAAGGGUCACGUCGCGGUUCAUCAUAUAGUACUCUCUUACGAACUCACUAUAUGAGUUAGGAAGUGACUGAAGAACCCAAUCAACAGCCAUUUCCUCACAGACAACGGAUCCCAACAUUCUUAACCUAUCAAUGUGUGACUUCAUCCCUAGGACGUGUGCACACACCGACUUUCCUUCUUUAUGUUUACUUGCCAAAAGGGCUUGAGUGAUCUUGAACUUUUCAAGCCUUUGAACUUGUGGGUUAGGGAGAAUAAUUGGAGGAGGAGGAGGAAGUGAAGCAUGAUUUCUUGUUCCUCGAUCGAAUCGUGGAAUAUCAUCUUCAUGUGGAAUGCUUGUUCCACGGGAUUUGGGAAGACCAUAGUUGUCGAACUUUGACAUCUACAAAACGGGAGAAAACGAAUUCAAGUUAGUUGAUUGAUUGAGUCCUUAGUAAAUCACCCAAAUGAGAUACUAAGGCUAGGACCCAACACAAUAUUCUACAACUCGGGAGAGGGAUGCCGUAACCCUAAUUGCAGAAUAUUUGAAGGUAAGUGAAUGACGAUUCACUAAUUUCCACCAUGAAAAACGAAAAAGAAAUUUAAGUUUUAAAUCUAUGAAAACUCCUAGAUCCUUUGAGAUUCAUUGAACUUUCAAUGGCAUGUUUAAAUCUCGAUAUGCCCCUCUUGUUUGUGACUGGGAUGCCGAGGAUCACAAAGCGGGUGUGAAUAACCAUGCAAACUUACAUGGUGCCCUCACAUGUUACAGUCACCUAUUCGAUGUGCCGGUAAACCACACACGCUCCACCGAACUAUGACAAACAUUGAGUCACCCUUUGCUACCUUUGCUUAGAACCAUUUAGUGUGCCGGUUAACCACACACGCUCCACUAACGUCUUCGCAAGGGCACAAAGUGUAAUUUCAUGGAAUUGCAUCAAUUCACUUUUGCCUAAGUAACUAAGAUUGGGAAUUUUAUGAAAACAUUUAGUUACUUUAAUAAUUCAUUAUACUUAUAAUGGAAGGUUUCGUCCUAUCCUACCCGUUCGGCUAACGACCCUCCACUAGUCAAGAGUGCGGUGGGUAAGAGUGGAUACCCAUUCAAUCGCCAUUUUAUAGGCAAUUUCCUUAAACACCCCUUAUAGACCAGCUUCGUGAAUGAGGCCUACUAACGGUAAGACUGACUUUUACUCAUACAUAUAUAUAAUGUUAGACUUUUAAUGUUAUAUAUAGUAUAGGGUGUAUUUUAUACUUUUAAAAUACUAGGUGGUCUAAUUUAACAAUUAUACUUUUAAUUCAAUUAAAUUGUAAACCUAAACUUUUAUGGAUUUAUUAAACCUCUUUUAAUUAUACACCUUAAUUAAUUAAUAAAACCAUAAGGGUGUGAUUUGAACUUUUUCAAAACUAUACUAGAGUUUUAGAAUUUAACAUUCCUAAUUAAACUUUUAAUCAACUUUUAAAUUCCAAAACUUGAGGGCAAGUUUUGAAACAUUUCAACACAUUAGGGUUUAGAAUUUAAAUAUGCAUCAAAAUUAAACUAUUUAAUCAAAAUUUAAAUUCCAAAACUUGAGGGCAAGUUUUGAAACCUUUUUCAAAACAUUAGGGUUUCAACUAUUUAAAUUUCAAAACAACAAAACUUUUGGGGUUCAAAUUUAAACUAUAAAACCUAAAGGGCCAAAUAUGAAACUUUUCACAACAACAAGGAUCAAAUAACAAAUAAUUCAAAUUAACAUUUAAUCACAUAAUUAUCCAUAUUUGAUGAUUUCUUGCAAAAUAAUUUAUCAAUUUACUUAAAAUAAUUAAUCAAUUAUCUUAUAAGGAAACAAUUAUCUUAUUAAUUGAUAAAUAUCUUCAAUUAGAUUAAAAAUAUAGUCAAAUAUAUCAUAUAAUCGGAUUAAUAUUAAUCUAACAUGAUAAGGUAAUUAUCCCAAUGCAAAAACAGCAAGAAAUCCCGAGAUAAGCACUGUCUGACGCACCGACUCGCCGAGUCACCCUCUGGAACUCGCCGAGUAGGGCUGACUCGCCGAGUCCAAGAGUGACUCGCCGAGUCAGGUCGAACAGUGAGGCCAAAACACGAUUUUCAGUUACAUCAAGCAUCAAUACAAUAGAAACCAAUCAUGGCUCUGAUACCACUGAUGGGUUUUGGUCAUAAGACAUCCUAUGUGCUCAUACAAACCCUAAAGCUUGGAUCUAGGUUUCUCUAUUGUACAUACUUUGAAUCCAAGACUUUGAACCCUAAUUCUAGCAUAUGGAAAUCAGAAUUCACAUGUAAUUAGGUUUAAGAACAUACCUUGAUUGUUAUAUAGCAAUAACAAUCCAAUUCCUCCUUGAAUUGACCUUGGAAAGCUGAGAGUCACAAGUGUCACUCCUCUAAUGGCUUACAAACACCAUAAGCAAGUGGAGAAGGUAUAAAGAGAGAGGAGGGAGGUUAGAAUUCGUCCUUAGGACCUCUUGGGAAGGGUUAGACGAAUUCCUAAGCCUUAGGGGGUUUAUAUAGGUGUAAAGAUUAGGGUUUUAGUCCUUAUCCUUAUCUAGUUGCUUGUCCACCAAGCAACCAUAAGAUAAGUCCUAGAAACCCUUAUCCUAGUCGAAUUCUAAGGGAUUUACACCUCAAAUUCGUUCACCAUAUAUAUAAGAUAAUCCUUACCUUAUUUUGUAACUAUCACAUAAUUACAAUUCAGCCCCUCUAGUUUAAUUAAUUACACUUGAUCACAAAAUUAAUUCUUAAUUAAUUAUUGACCAAUAUUAAUUAAACAAAUAUGAUUUCUCCUUUAAUAUAUUAUUCUUAUAACAUAUUAAUAAAUCAUAAUAACCUCUCUCUCUUUAUUUAUUUCUCCAAUCAAGUUGCUUUGGUGAAGGCAACCCAAAAGGACCAUGCACCAUCGGGUCAAGUACAUACCAAAAUAGUUAUGGACUUAGACACUAAUCCAACAGUCUCCCACUUGGAUAAGUCUAACAACUAUUAUGCGUAUGACUUCGGAUCCCGAUCUGCAAUCGUAGCUUUCCAAAGCCGCUGUCAACUCUGAUCAUAUCAAAUACGCGUGUCCUUAGAUAAGGGAUCAUAUAUUCCUCCAUUCUAGAUAUCGUAUGAGAUAUGAUUUCAAAUCAUUCUCUUUGUACUAUAUCUCGAUUUCCGAUUUAUGACGACUGACUAAUUGAACAAAUCAAAUUAGCCCUAGCCCGGCCGAGCAUUUACGUUUGUCAUCACUAAACCAUCGAGGGGCCCAAAGAUAUCGCUUUUAUCCUACUUUGAAUAAAAGGAAUGGAUAAACUUUGAUACAAUGCUCGCUUGCACUCACUCACCGAAUUACACACAACAAUAUGUUUUAUAACACCAAGUUACUAGUGCGUUUACCUUAUAAAAUCGAUAGAGUUGAUUUCCAGAAAAUCCAAUAUUUUCUUAGUUAAGUUUGAAUAGAAUAUUCCUAUAUGGUACAUUAAUGAACCCUAGAAUGACCCGUAG
rnacentral:lncRNA from 1 species